UAAGCGAUUAGUGAAAGCGUUCGGCUUAACCGAAUACACAUUAUUCGAACUGCGAAGCUAGAGGACGAGAGAGGUUAUUGGAAUUCCUAGUGUAGGAGUGAAAUCCGUAGAUAUUAGGAGGAACACCGAUGGCGUAGGCAGAUAACUGGCUCGUUUCUGACACUAAGGCACGAAAGCGUGGGGAGCAAACGGGAUUAGAUACCCCGGUAGUCCACGCCGUAAACUAUGGAUGCUA
rnacentral:rRNA from 1 species